CAGAGUGCUGGCGAGCGGCGAACGGGUGAGUAACGCGUGGGUAACUACCCUGGAGACCGGGAUAACCCCGGGAAACUGGGGCUAAUACCGGAUAAGCUCACAGCCCGCAUGGAGCAGUGAGAAAAGGCCUCUGGCCGCUCCAGGAUGGGCCCGCGUCCCAUUAGUAGUUGGUGGGGUAACGGCCUACCAAGCCUACGAUGGGUAGCCGGCCUGAGAGGGUGUCGGCCACACUGGGACUGAGACACGGCCCAGACUCCUACGGGAGGCAGCAGUGGGGAAUAUGGGCAAUGGGCGAAAGCCUGAUCCAGCAACGCCGCGUGGAGGAUGAAGGCCUUCGGGUGUAAACUCCUUUUCGGGGAGAUGAGAAAGGACAGUAUCCCCGGAAUAAGCCACGGCUAAUACGUGCCAGCAGCCGCGGUAAUACGUAGGUGGCGAGCGUUAUCCGGAUUUACUGGGCGAAAGCGCUUGUAGGCGGCUUCGUAAGUUGGGCGUGAAAGCUCCAGGCUUAACCUGGAGAGUCGUCCAAUACUGCGAGGCUAGAGGAUGCCAGAGGGAGGUGGAAUUCCCGGUGUAGCGUGAAAUGCGUAGAUAUCGGGAGGAACACCCGUGGCGAAGGCGGCCUCCUGGGGCACUCCGACGCUGAGAAGCGAAAGCUAGGGGAGCAAACAGGAUUAGAUACCCUGGUAGUCCUAGCGUAAACGAUGGACGCUAGGUGUUGGCCGAAAUCAAUCGGUCAGUGCCGAAGCUAACGCGUAAGCGUCCCGCCUGGGAAGUACGGCCGCAAGGUUAAAACUCAAAUGAAUUGACGGGG
rnacentral:rRNA from 1 species